rnacentral:rRNA from 1 species
GUGGAUUAGAUACCCUGGUAGUCCAUGCCGUAAACGUUGGGCGCUAGGUGUGGGACUCAUUCCACGAGUUCCGUGCCGCAGCUAACGCAUUAAGCGCCCCGCCUGGGGAGUACGGCCGCAAGGCUAAAACUCAAAGGAAUUGACGGGGGCCCGCACAAGCGGCGGAGCAUGUGGAUUAAUUCGAUGCAACGCGAAGAACCUUACCAAGGCUUGACAUAUACCGGAAACAUCUGGAGACAGGUGCCCCGCAAGGUCGGUAUACAGGUGGUGCAUGGUUGUCGACAGCU